AAGUCGUAACAAGGUCUCCGUAGGUGAACUGCGGAGGGAUCAUUACCGAGAGGCGGCCCGCGCGCCGACCUCCCAACCUCUGUCGACCGUACCGCGUUGCCUCGGGCCGCCUCGCGGCGCCCAGAGGACACCAAUCGAAACUCUGCAUCUCAUGCGUCGGAGUCAUUAUGUGAAUCAAUCAAACUUUCAACAACGGAUCUCUUGGUUCUGGCAUCGAUGAAGAACGCAGCGAAAUGCGAUAAGUAAUGUGAACUGCAGAAUUCAGUGAAUCAUCGAAUCUUUGAACGCACAUUGCGCCCUGGCAUUCCGAGGGGCAUGCCGUUCGAGCGUCAUUACACCACUCAGCCUGGCUCGGUAUUGGCGUCGGGAUGCCCCGCGCCUCUAUUUGUCGGCUGGACGGUUGAAUCUCAGCGUUGUGUCAUCAGAUCGCUGACGAGGACUGACCGACGCGCCGUGAAAUCUCACCACAGGUUGACCUCGGAUCGGGUAGGGAUACCGCUGAACUUAA
rnacentral:rRNA from 1 species